GCCACUUUAGCUCAGUUGGUAGAGCAGUUCAUUCGUAAUGAACAGGCCAGCAGUUCAAGUCUGCUAAGUGGCU
rnacentral:tRNA from 1 species